UCUCAUUGCGCAAUCAAAUGUGCGGGUCGACAUCAAAUGUCAGUUUCAGGCGUGGCUGACUACUGGCUGUGAGCCUGCGGUAGUGUACCCAAGUUGCGUGUUGACGCGGUUGAUGGAUGGAUUUUUCCUUGCUUUUCUUUGCAUGGUUAAGCCAUAUUCUUCCAUUGACAUCAACCAACAUUCAGUUGUUUUCUGAUAUAUAUACUCUCUGUGCAUGGUUUUGUCUGUUGUUUCAACUAGAAGGUCAGCAUGCUACGGUUGAAUAAUUUGGGUCACCUGAAUUGUAGGUAGCAGCCCUUGAAUGGCUGGCAAUGGCAAUCAUCAAUCAACAAGACCCUGUGCCACAACUGACAGCCAAUCACAAGUACUCGCUAAUUCAUUCAUACUAUUAUUAUGCAUGCUAGCUACUGCACAGCUGACCUGACCUGAGCUUCCCUACGGACUGAUAUGCCAGUGCUCGCAUUGCACACUAGCUCGGCAUCCUAAUUACUAUCUAAACAUUCGAUGUGACAGGAAUUAAAUUUUAAUCCCAUGAACCAAACAGGUCCUGAACUCGCAUCAUGCGCUAGCUAGUAAUAAUCUAGGUAUGUAACAGAUCAUGUUAAUUAGCCUAGUUGUUAGUUUCAUCUCUCUCCUCACAACAAAUAUAUGGUAUUCAUCUCUCUCCUCACAACAGAUAUAUGGUAUCCUUACCAAAGCAUUGCAGCCGCACAUGCAGUAUAGUCUAAUCAUAGGCUACAUGCAUGAUAUAAUUUGUAUCGCAACAUGCAUUUUCUACAUCCCUUUUCUUUUCUCGUUUUCCCCCAGGCCAUGCUGAAGCUCUCGUUCCUCCACCUGUUGCUGAGCGUGGGUGGCCAGCGGAGGUGGCAUGCGGUGGCGCGGUUGGCCGUCGUCCCUGCCGUUGGAGGCCCUUGGCCGGCGGCCCGCGUGGUGGAGCCGGCGGACGCGUCGGUGCGGCCAUGACGGAGGAGGCCGCGCUCGGGCCAUGCCACUGCGGCGGGAGUGCGGCGGCGGCUGCUCGGACCGGCGGAUCCGGUGCCCUGGUGGUUGAAUCCGGCCUUUCCGGGCACUGAUCUGCGCAGAACAUCGG
rnacentral:lncRNA from 1 species